rnacentral:tRNA from 1 species
CCUCGGGGAGCUCGGUAGGUUGAGCAGCGGUCUGUGGAACCGAAGGUCAUGGGUUCGAUCCCCAUUCCGAGGACCA